AUGCGAGCAGUUUGCUUUGUUGGUUUUGUUUAUUCUCCUCUUCUUUCUUCGUCUCAGGCUAACAGCAUCGACCUGGGAGGGGGCUGGCAAGCAAGAAAGACAGAUCUGCUUUGGAAACGGAGGUUUGGAAGCGUGUGCUGGAAUGACAGAGCUGCUCCACAGCUCAUCUUGUCUCCUUACUGCAAGGAGGGGGAGGUGGACUCAUUCCCGAUGCUGCACAUUACCUGUGCCACUCUGUUGUUUUUUUGGGGAGAGCAAUGCCCACUGAGCCAGAGUCCGGAGUGGAAACCUGAGCCUCAGAUCCUCGUUUCAUCCUCCUCAGCCCUGCAGCAGCUGCUCUCCCCUUUGCCUGAUGACACAGAGCCGAUAACCCCGGAUACUGAGAGCCCGUCUACAUCCUCACCCUGGGGAGAGAAAAGCCAUGGGGAGUGGAAUGAGCAAGGUACUGAGGGCAGGGCUGAGUGCCUAGGGGUGUUCAACAGGUGGCAGCUGGCUUUUGGGUCUUGUCCUUUGGGUGGUACAGCCGUGGUGGCACAAACUUCUGGACUGAUUGGGGGUCCCAGGAGCUGUGCACAGAAACUCCCCCCGUUUCGUACCCCCCCCCCCCCCAUAGGGAUGUGUCUGUGCAAUGUAAACAGGCAGUGGGGCUGUGCUGGGGUUGGUGCUCAGGGCUGGCAGAGGGAUCGAUGUCUGUUUGUAUCCUUAAAUAACCAGUGGUGUAUGCAUUAUCCAGGUUAAAAUUAGAUACCAGGAUAGCAGCAGAGCAGCACUUGGGAUAAAUUAGAGCCACUCUGAGCUCUUUUUAUUGCUCCUCUGGGUAAUAUAAAGCAAUGAUUUCUCUCCAUCUAUCCAUCUCAGAGCACAGCUCUAGAUGCAUGGGAUUCUUUGGGCUCAGGAUAGGCUCCCCAUGAGCAUAACAUCCUCCUCCAUGAUAUCCAUCCACCCAGGGUGAGGAAUGCCCCCGUGUGGUGCUGCUCACUGGGUUAUGCACAGAGCCCAGCAAACUCCUUAUAGAUAAGCUGUGCAUUCUCCCAACUGGCAGAAGCAACCUUUGGAACCAUUUGCAAGACUGGUUGCUAUAGAACAGCCGAACACAGCAGGAGGCUGCUCCAGGUUGGGCUCUGGUUGGUGGUUGCACACUUGCACCCAACUGCACAGCAGCCAGGCCCCCAAUCCAUCCAUGUGCUGAGUUUUCCUGAGCUCUGUGCUCCUGGAAGGUUUUGUUUGGCAUCCAGUGCUGGCAGAGUGUUUUGGGUGGUGACAACCUCUGCUGUUUGUUAAUGAAGAUGCUUUGUUCAUUAGCUGCUGGUGUUUUCUCCGUGGGGCCCCAUCCUGUGAAC
rnacentral:lncRNA from 1 species